AGGACGCCUCGCAGCCCAACAGCAAUGGAAGCGGCAGCCAUGACAGCUGGCCCUGUAAGGAAUCUCACAGCCAUGGCAAAAGCUGCAAUGGAAUUCCCACAUGCAAUGAUCCUCGGUUGCAAAGCCAUGAACAGCCCUGUCCAAAGCUGAACAUGGCCAUGCCAAGACCUGCAUCCGACAGUAUAGAAAUGGACUUUGCUAUAAUGUCAGGCAUACGGACGUUCCACCUGCAAGCAGUAGUAGCACAACUCUGCCAUUAGAUUAGAUUAAUAAGCUCACGCAGUCUGAGUCAUAAAUCAUGGAAGAUUGAAUGGAAUGGAAAUUAAUUAA